GUAAACCUAACUAGCCUUAUUUCAACAAAACUAGGACAUCAUAAAUAUGAGGAGUUCUAUCUUACUUGUUUUACUCGUGAGCCUUGUAGUUUCAAACGAUGGCCAACUUGCCGGCCAAGGGGAAACGUGUGGAGGAUACGCUGGUACGAUGUGUGGAGAAGGUCUAAGGUGUGAUAAUUCUAGAGGAACUGCUGAAAAGUGCGUGCGAAGUCCGUUUGCUAUGGUAUUUCCUGGUCAUCAGUUCUAGAAGCGUGUCUGAGUUGGAUGACACCAUUGUACAUUGUUCAAUUUUAAAUAUUUUGUUCUUAUCAAAUCGGAACCCAACUCUCUAACAAAUAACAGUAUGAAUAAACCCUGUUGAAGGUGUAUGUUCAACUACCCUAAUGUAUAUGAAGUUUGGAUAUGUAGUUAUCAUUUGCUUUUAUACUUAUAUUUUUAUUUGAUUUAUUUUCAUUAUUUUCAUUAAAUCAGUUUUUUAUCUUCGCAUC